rnacentral:lncRNA from 1 species
UUUUUAUCAAGUAAAUUUUUCAUUAAUUUCUAAAAAAUCAACUUAAUUAAUUACAUGCCUGAUCAGUGUGCACUUUAAUGUGCACCCUCAGGUUUAGGAUUUGAGAGCACUGACCCUCUAAGAGAAACAAUACAAUUUCUGGACAUACACCCUAUAAACCCACCACAUUACGCCCAACCAAUACCCUGUCAGAAGCUUUGCAAUCUAGGCAUCCUUCCAUCUCAACCAAUAUACCCUGUCUGCACGGCACUAAUGCCAUAUCCAACUUCAGGCAGCUCCUCAAAUUUAUCUUGUACUCUGCAACAUUUAAUUAAACAGAAGCAACUCUGACAAUUCUACAGCGAAACACACGCAGAUGCAGUAACGGUCCCUUUGUUAUCCUGAAUCUGGCUUACAUAAUAUUGUUUACUACAAGUGCCAAACGACAUGAGUGUCAAGGGCAGUAAAACAUAUCAUGAUGAUGAAUUCUACACAUAUACUUCACUUGGACAUUACAUCAUUUUGCCCUCAUUCCUUCUCCCACUUCAUCUUCUCCUAAGUUUCACCUCCACUUCCUAAGUCCAUCUAUUGCUCUAUGGGUCGAAUAUCUCUAUUGUCAACCUGCUCGAUUGUAUUUAGGGUCUACUCAUAUUUGGUCAGCAGCUGGGAUACAGCAGGGGGACCCUUUGGGGCCUCUUCUCUUUGCUUUAGUCUUGCAUCCAUUGAUACACCGUAUUCGGUCAGAAUGCCACUUGGAGUUGCAGGCAUGGUACUUAGAUGAUGGUACUCUGAUUAGUAGUACAGAACAUGUGGCUAGAGCUAUUCGUAUCAUUCAGGAAAGAGGACCAUCUCUUGGGCUCGUGCUUAAUGUGUCUAAGACAGAGUUGUUCUGGCCUUCUAUUGAUCCUGACUGCUCCUAUCCAGAUAUCUUUCCGGUUGGUAUAUCAUGUCCUCAGCGAGGGGUUAAGUUGCUUGGAGGGGCUGUAAGUACUGAUGCAUCAUUUAUUGUGGGUAAUGUUCGUCAACGAGUGGAUAAGACACUUCAACUUAUGGACUUAUUACCACAGCUAAAGGAUCCGCAGUGUGAGUUGGCACUUUUACGUUCUUGUAUGGGAUUAUCCAAACUCACCUUUGCUCUCCGUACUUGCCCCCCUGAUUAUGUUCAGGAAACAGCCGAAUGGUUUGACCACAAGCUUCGUGCAGCCCUUCAAAAUAUUGUGGUUUUCGAUGGCCCUGGUUUUGGCGAUCUACAGUGGCGUAUGGCAACCCUCCCAUUGCGUAUGGGUGGACUUGGUAUCUAUUGUGCCUCUGAUGUUAUGAAGUUUGCUUUCGUAGCUUCACGUACGCAAACCAAGGAUCUCCAGGACCACAUUCUUCAAGGUUGUGACACUCCACCUAUGGGUAAUGUUUUCGAUACUGCCAUUGCUAGUUUACAUCUUUCUAUACCUGAUUUUGAUCUCAGUAAUCUUGCUCCAACUGCUACUGUCCCCUUCAGACCCCAACAUGUCUUGGCGGAAGCAUACUACAACAAGAUUAGUUCUGGUCUUGAGAGGGAAUUUGAGUUGUCAGCUAGACAAAAAACCGUGAUUGGAUGUGUACAGUCAGAACAUGCCAAAGAUUUUCUUCUUGCUAUCCCGAUGGAAGGGUUUGGACAACGCAUGACGCCUGUAGAGUAUCGUGCCAUUCUUCGUUAUCGAUUGAUGAUCCCUCUAUAUUCAGAUGGUGAGCUUUGUCCAGUGUGUAAGAAGAGUAGACUUGAUGCUUUCGGGGACCAUGCGGCCCAUUGUAAGCAUUACCCCGGCUUCAAGUACAGGCAUGACCACGUUAGAGAUAUCUUGUGUGAUGUGUUCUGGCGGGCUGGCGUACAGGUUAAGAAGGAGGCUCCUGUUAACUUUCUUACUGAUCCUAAGGAAGGAAGAUCAACACUACGUCUUGCUGAUAUUCUGGUCUACAACUGGUCGGAAGGUAAACAUGCGUGUGUUGAUGUUACAGGGGCGUCUCAGAUGGUUGGGCUGAGUGCUGGGAUUUUUGAGGUGGGGCUAGCAGCUAGCAAUGCAGCAACGGCAAAAGUGGAGAAACAUGACGGAGUUCGUAGGGCUAACCAACAUAGUUUCAUCCCUUUUGCAUUUGACACAUUUGGACUACUAGGCUCAGAAGCAGUUGAGCUCUUCAGGAGAGUGCAGAAGAUAAUGGAUAGCAACGUGAUGACUGCAGGUUCGAACGAAUAUGUAUUUAGGAGAAUCGGGUUUGCUAUCCAGAAAGGACUUGCCGCGCAAUUUGUAGCGCGUUUGUCCUCUACUUUUGUGUAAUUCGUUGAGCUUAUCAAUAAAAUUUGAUUUUUUUCAAUAAAAAAAAAAAAAAACAGAAUCAAAUACAAGGAAAGAGAUGACAAAAACAGUUGCGCAGCACCUAUGAACUGAAGCGAAGUGGUAAUAAGCUACCAUUAAAUGAGCAUCAUAGGUCCGAAACACUCGUAAAUGCCAUAUAAAAACUACUUGGGAAUAAAAGAGUGAUUUGCUUUCUGAUAAGUGAUUAUUAAUGGACCAAUAUACAAUUUACGCAAUUGAUGCAGCCAGCACGAAUCAUAUUUUUAGCAUAAUGGCUCGUAAGUGCCUAGUACAGAACUUGCGCUCAGCUUCUCUGCCUUAUCCUUGGCUUUGCCCCACAAUAGCACAUAAAGGCCUACUAUCACGAAAAUUGCUCCAAGCAUGCUGCAGUGGCCGAACAGGUAACUCAGGAUCAGAAAUGAUGUAAUCAAAAAUUAAACAAUUGAGACAACAAGAACUAUAAUUGUAUUCAUUUACCUCCCUAGAUGAGCAUCUUUCCUUAACACAACUGUCUCGAGAAGGAAUGUGAAUACAAUGAGCAGAGGGGAAAACGCAGACGUAAAAACAGGGCCUUUUUUGUGUACAGCCCAUGUGUGGACAUAGUAUGAUAAACCGUAAAUAACAAUGCCCUGUCAAUUGCCAGACCAACCACCAUUGGAGGCCAUAUCUUAAAACUGAACUUUGAAUCUUUGUAUAAUGGAACAAGUUCAUAUUUGAAUGUGACUUUUAUAGUCGAAUGUUAAAAAAAUUUCAGAUGAAGUAAAGAUUGAGUUAUUACCCCAUACAAAAUCACUGGAAGCAUAUAACUACCAUGGAAGUUUAUCUUCCAUGCAGAAGCAUUUCUUUGGGUUAAUCCUGCAAUUAUUGCAGUUUGCAAAGUUCCGCAAAAGGACAUAAGUGCUGAUAAAGACAACUCUGCAGGAUACAUAAUUGUGGCAUGUUCCUGCACAAAAGCUUUUAAAAGUUAGUUAAUCAAGACCCCCGCGUUUUGCUUCAUGGGGCUUCUUUCUCUAUUGUUUUGGUAUAAAUUAACAAUAAAACCCCUUGCAUCUCAUGAACUAUUAUUAGACAUAC